rnacentral:rRNA from 1 species
UACGUAGGGUGCAAGCGUUAUCCGGAAUUAUUGGGCGUAAAGAGCUCGUAGGCGGUUUGUCGCGUCUGCUGUGAAAACUGGGGGCUCAACCCCCAGCCUGCAGUGGGUACGGGCAGACUAGAGUGCGGUAGGGGAGAUUGGAAUUCCUGGUGUAGCGGUGAAAUGCGCAGAUAUCAGGAGGAACACCGAUGGCGAAGGCAGGUCUCUGGGCCGAUACUGACGCUGAGGAGCGAAAGCGUGGGGAGCGAACAGG